GAUGAAGAACGUAGCGAAAUGCGAUAAGUAAUGUGAAUUGCAGAAUUCAGUGAAUCAUCGAAUCUUUGAACGCACAUUGCGCCCGCCAGUAUUCUGGCGGGCAUGCCUGUCCGAGCGUCAUUUCAACCCUCGAACCCCUCCGGGGGGUCGGCGUUGGGGAUCGGCCCUGCCUCUGGCGGUGGCCGUCUCCGAAAUACAGUGGCGGUCUCGCCGCAGCCUCUCCUGCGCAGUAGUUUGAACACUCGCAUCGGGAGCGCGGCGCGUCCACAGCCGUUAAACACCCAACUUCUGAAAUGUUGACCUCGGAUCAGGUAGGAAUACCCGCUGAACUUAAGCAUAUCAAUAAGCGGAGGA
rnacentral:misc_RNA from 1 species